AUUCUACUCCCUCCGUUGCACAAUACAUGCCUUCUAUUUGUCAAAAUAUAUAUGUAUCUAGACAUGUUUUAGUAUAUAGGUACAUCCAUUNUCCAUUUUUGGACAAAUGGAAGUCAAGUAUUUUGGAACGGAGGGAGUACACA
rnacentral:pre_miRNA from 1 species